AAGGAAUCAAACCAGUACCAGAGCACCUCUGUAGGAGAGUUUAUGUAGGAGAGUUUAUCAGCAAAGAACCCCUGGAAAAUGUAGUAAUGAUGGUGAACUCUCCUUCAUUGGCUUUUAUUGAAUAUGAUAGAAAUCCCUGGAGGCAAGAUUAGGCUGUGACUCCAACACCUCAAGAUUGAUCUUUCCCUCACCUCUCUCACCUCAACCUCUCAGACUCAAGAUAAAUAAAAAUGAAUUAAAAAUAAAAAGAUGAAUUUAUCUCAACCCUGU
rnacentral:lncRNA from 11 species